rnacentral:rRNA from 1 species
UACGUAGGGGGCAAGCGUUGUCCGGAAUCAUUGGGCGUAAAGCGCGUGUAGGCGCCAGAAAAGUCCGCUGUGAAAACUCGAGGCUCAACUUCGAGCUGUCGGUGGAAACUUUCUGGCUAGAGUCCGGAAGAGGAGAAUGGAAUUCCUGGUGUAGCGGUGAAAUGCGCAGAUAUCAGGAAGAACACCCGUGGCGAAGGCGGUUCUCUGGGGCGGUACUGACGCUGAGACGCGAAAGCGUGGGGAGCGAACAGG